rnacentral:rRNA from 1 species
UGCCAGCAGCCGCGGUAAUACGUAGGUCCCGAGCGUUGUCCGGAUUUAUUGGGCGUAAAGCGAGCGCAGGCGGUUUUUUAAGUCUGAAGUUAAAGGCAUUGGCUCAACCAAUGUACGCUUUGGAAACUGGAGAACUUGAGUGCAGAAGGGGAGAGUGGAAUUCCAUGUGUAGCGGUGAAAUGCGUAGAUAUAUGGAGGAACACCGGUGGCGAAAGCGGCUCUCUGGUCUGUAACUGACGCUGAGGCUCGAAAGCGUGGGGAGCAAACAGGAUUAGAUACCCUGGUAGUCCACGCCGUAAACGAUGAGUGCUAGGUGUUAGGCCCUUUCCGGGGCUUAGUGCCGGAGCUAACGCAUUAAGCACUCCGCCUGGGGAGUACGACCGCAAGGUUGAAACUCAAAGGAAUUGACGGGGGCCCGCACA